CACGUAGGCGGAUUUUUAAGUCAGGGGUGAAAUCCUGGAGCUCAACUCCAGAACUGCCUUUGAUACUGGGAAUCUCGAGUCCGGGAGAGGUGAGUGGAACUGCGAGUGUAAGGUGAAAUUCGUAGAUAUUCGCAAGAACACCAGUGGCGAAGGCGGCUCACUGGCCCGGUACUGACGCUGAGGUGCGAAAGCGUGGGGAGCAAACA
rnacentral:rRNA from 1 species